UCAAAAUGCUAUCCUGGUUGCUAGGGUUGAUCUUACCUUACCAUUUCAAGAUCAAGGCUAAGAUAAUGGGACUGCAACAAGCAAGCAACAAUGGAUAAAUAUGUUUCUGAUGAAUCCAUUUGACAUAUCACUGAUUAUUUGCUGUGUAUAUUUUUAGGUUGAACUAUAAUGAGUCGUCAUAUUCUAACCAGAGGGCUGUUGAGGUUGGGAAGCAGCAUUUCACCAGUAACUAUAAGGCUAGGCAGCAAUGUUAUCCAGCUACAUGCAUGUGUCAUCCUCGUCAUCUUUUUUGCCAAAUCGGGCCCUCAAAACGCGGCUGAUGGAACUCACUAAUGGCAACAAAAAGAAGGAUACAAAAAUGGCACAGGAAAAGUUUUCACAUGAAGCAGCAGCGUUUGGAGAAAAAUAUUCAUCACAGGGAGCAAAUGUUAUGAACUGACGGAGCACUGAAGCCACAUUUCAACAGGACAUGUACAUGUAAUAUAGUUAUGUCUCUGUGGGUUUGCUUACAGAGACGCUUUAUUAUCAGUAACAUGUUGAAUUCAAAGUGACGUUCAUUGAGAGGUGAUGCUGCGGUGUUCGCUGGUAGUAAGGGAAAAAAAAG